CGCGCGCCUUUCCCGCCCCUCCCCGCGGCGCGCGCUCUAUUUAAGGCCAGCGCGCGGCUGCACCGCCCUUUCCUGAGGCGGCGCAGCGCGGGGCAGCAGCGAUGGGCUCUACGGCCGGGCCCUGGUGGUGCGGGGCGUGGGUCGGUAGUGCUGCAGCGGCUGGCUGGAGGAGCCUCUCUGAGUUCCGUGAGGCUUGGGGGCGCACGAACCCGGGGCCGUGCCCGGCGAACGCCGCUCCUGAGGGCGGGCGGGCGGCUGGCCGGCUGGCUCCGUGCUGUGCGGCGGGCACGGGGCGCAGCGCCGGUCUCGGGUGGUUGCAGAGGGCUGUGGCUCGCUGAUGCUGCCUUGCAGCUCCGCGUCAAUCCCACGUCAAUCUCGGCGCUCGAUGCUUUAAGCAACAAAGGCAAUUAGGAGAUGAGUUGGUUUCUGGCUUCGGGAAUCUUCAGGCUCGGCUCUGUGCUGUUACCUUGCAAGCAGGAAGAUGUCACAUGAAUUGUGACAGAAGUAUCUCUCACUGUUCUUAGUGGUGAGGAAAUCAUCCAGAGCUGUCUCCUGAAAUCGAGGUCUUGAUUUCUGCAGCUGUUUAAGAUUUGUAAAUUGUCUUACUGAUGGAACAAGAUAUAUGAUCAUUUGCAUGAAGGGUUAAGUCUUAAACUGUCCUAGAGAGUAUUCCUCAGUUAGCACAGACCAGUUAAUACGUUUUGAAUUACUGACUGAUUUCCUACUACUAAGCUUUUUACUUACAUAAUGACUCCAUUUGUCUAUGAUGGAGCUCAGUUUGCCUUACCAUGUACUACUGCCAUGCAUUUUGGAAGGUGAGGUUUUAUCCAUUUUUAAAUUAACAACCAUAGCCCUUAAAAUCUGGCCUUUUGUUCUUUGAACUUGAACUCCAUGACAGUAGAGAGCUAACUGAGCUUUUACUGAGGCUAAAAUUCUAAAAGGUAUUAUACCAGCUAUAAGGCCUUUGCAACUGCUGUGUUGUGGGGUGUCAGUAUCAAUUUAAGAAUCAUGAAGGAAUUGGAAAUGAGAGACUUGAGAACACUGGAGAAUCCUGUUUUAACUGGAUAAAUAGUUUUGUGAAGGAUUAACCAGAUGUUAGCUGGAAGUAAAAGGCUGAAGUGGAGAACAUGUACUCGGAUAGCUAUCCCUGCUGGUACUUAACCACAUCAGUCUGUCAGAAUACAGUCAGAGUGGACAGAGAAUCGUGGCAGUGAACUUCACCUCUGGGAAAAAAAAGAAAAAAAACACUUGGCAUCUAAGGCCUGAAUGUAUCAGCAGAGACCCAUGUUGUUGUGCCCUAAAAGAGCUUUUCUUUUUUUCCUGGCUACACCAAAUUAGUUCUGUGCUUAAUGGUUGAAAACACAGUUCUGCUUAGAUCUCUAGAAGCACAUUUCUGGAGGCCAGCCUAAUAAAUCCCCUUGUACUUGGUACCUGGGAAGAAUAGCUCCAGUCUUAAGGCACGUGGGAACCUGUCUGCUGGCACUGUGAUGAUGACUCUCUGCCGUUUACCCAACUGAUUUCUGUGAUGAGUAACACUAUCUCUGAUGUGCCAGCUCAUCAGUAGGUGGCAAAUCAAAUGGGAUAAACCUUUUGGUUCUGAUUUGAUUUAUUCUAAUCUUUCAAAGGUUAUCAGAUGACUUUCUCCGCUGACUUCAAGCUGUGUAUAGCCAACAGCAGACUGUUGAUUUCCAGAAGUAUGGGUGUUUAAGAAGGUUGAGAACAGUGUGAGAAGUGGAUUUCUAAUGCACUUGGGAAUGCUUUGCUGGCCCUUCUUGCUUCUCAGAAGCACUGCUUGAUUUGAAUGUGCUCUGGGUGAAGUCCUGUGACUUGUAAUACCAUGCUGAAAGGAAGAAGUUGAGUAAGAUGGAGUUAGAGUUUAGAUGAAAAUGUGAAUAAUGCCUGAAUGAAGUUCAAGUGAGAGUGGAGUGAGAAGUAGCCCUUCAGACAAUGUUAGAACUCGGUACGAAUAUUCAAGUGCAGUCAAAGUUUGAUUUCAGGGUUAAAACGCAGGAAAUUUUGUUUUCUUGCCUAAAUUAGUGUAUAUAAUAAUGGUAGAAGCUGUUCUGCUCAUUUUCAAUGCAAUGUUUGCAUAAAUAAAAUCCUGGAUUUAUAUUUCCAA